UACGGAGGGGGCUAGCGUUAUUCGGAAUUACUGGGCGUAAAGCGCACGUAGGCGGCUUUGUAAGUUAGAGGUGAAAGCCUGGAGCUCAACUCCAGAAUUGCCUUUAAGACUGCAUCGCUUGAAUCCAGGAGAGGUGAGUGGAAUUCCGAGUGUAGAGGUGAAAUUCGUAGAUAUUCGGAAGAACACCAGUGGCGAAGGCGGCUCACUGGACUGGUAUUGACGCUGAGG
rnacentral:rRNA from 1 species